rnacentral:rRNA from 1 species
GGCGUCGAGCGGCGGACGGGUGAGUAAUGCCUAGGAAAUUGCCCUGAUGUGGGGGAUAACCAUUGGAAACGAUGGCUAAUACCGCAUGAUGCCUACGGGCCAAAGAGGGGGACCUUCGGGCCUCUCGCGUCAGGAUAUGCCUAGGUGGGAUUAGCUAGUUGGUGAGGUAAGGGCUCACCAAGGCGACGAUCCCUAGCUGGUCUGAGAGGAUGAUCAGCCACACUGGAACUGAGACACGGUCCAGACUCCUACGGGAGGCAGCAGUGGGGAAUAUUGCACAAUGGGCGCAAGCCUGAUGCAGCCAUGCCGCGUGUGUGAAGAAGGCCUUCGGGUUGUAAAGCACUUUCAGUCGUGAGGAAGGUGGUGUAGUUAAUAGCUGCAUUAUUUGACGUUAGCGACAGAAGAAGCACCGGCUAACUCCGUGCCAGCAGCCGCGGUAAUACGGAGGGUGCGAGCGUUAAUCGGAAUUACUGGGCGUAAAGCGCAUGCAGGUGGUUUGUUAAGUCAGAUGUGAAAGCCCGGGGCUCAACCUCGGAAUAGCAUUUGAAACUGGCAGACUAGAGUACUGUAGAGGGGGGUAGAAUUUCAGGUGUAGCGGUGAAAUGCGUAGAGAUCUGAAGGAAUACCGGUGGCGAAGGCGGCCCCCUGGACAGAUACUGACACUCAGAUGCGAAAGCGUGGGGAGCAAACAGGAUUAGAUACCCUGGUAGUCCACGCCGUAAACGAUGUCUACUUGGAGGUUGUGGCCUUGAGCCGUGGCUUUCGGAGCUAACGCGUUAAGUAGACCGCCUGGGGAGUACGGUCGCAAGAUUAAAACUCAAAUGAAUUGACGGGGGCCCGCACAAGCGGUGGAGCAUGUGGUUUAAUUCGAUGCAACGCGAAGAACCUUACCUACUCUUGACAUCCAGAGAACUUUCCAGAGAUGGAUUGGUGCCUUCGGGAACUCUGAGACAGGUGCUGCAUGGCUGUCGUCAGCUCGUGUUGUGAAAUGUUGGGUUAAGUCCCGCAACGAGCGCAACCCUUAUCCUUGUUUGCCAGCGAGUAAUGUCGGGAACUCCAGGGAGACUGCCGGUGAUAAACCGGAGGAAGGUGGGGACGACGUCAAGUCAUCAUGGCCCUUACGAGUAGGGCUACACACGUGCUACAAUGGCGCAUACAGAGGGCGGCCAACUUGCGAAAGUGAGCGAAUCCCAAAAAGUGCGUCGUAGUCCGGAUUGGAGUCUGCAACUCGACUCCAUGAAGUCGGAAUCGCUAGUAAUCGUGGAUCAGAAUGCCACGGUGAAUAC